CCUGUCUUUCCUAAGGUGCUCUCAAGUUGUCUUAGUAAGGCAACUGCUUUAUCCCUUUAUUUUUGCUGCUCUGCCUUUAUUUUGUGGUGAUGUUCUGUCUGUUUGUGGAGGAAAUUUGAAGAGCCUGGAAAUUUCUCUGCCAUCUUGCCAGAAUGCUUCAUAUAGGGGCUUCUUUCAGUAUAUUUUCUCAGGUCAUUUCCCUGGCUGCGUAAGAUCAAUGAGAUCCUGAUUGUGACUUGUGCAUUUGAAGCUGAAGUGGCCCUUUAUUACCUGUGGAGGCGGCAUAAAUGCAGAGGAUUUCUUUAUAGAGAACUAUCCGUUUGGCAAGACUGGAAAUUUAUAGGGACAGUUUUUACGCUGGUAAUUUUAAAGGGUGUUCUGGUUGUAAUGGAAAUCAUAUUUAUUAUGAAACCAUACAUAUCAAGAAUGUCACCACACCUUGCCAGGUCCCUGAGAUGAUAAUAAGGUAAUUUCAGGUAGGACGUACAUUUGACUUAAUU
rnacentral:lncRNA from 1 species